CUGCAGCCAAUUAAACUAGCCAAGCUUUUUUUCUUGCAAGGCCUAUGUGUAGUGGCUGUAAAUAGCAGUCUCCAUGUCAGUGUACACAACCUAUUGCUUGUAGAGAGUGCUUCAAGGAGUUUAGGAGAUAGUU